UACGAAGGGUGCAAGCGUUACUCGGAAUUACUGGGCGUAAAGCGUGCGUAGGUGGUUCGUUAAGUCUGCCGUGAAAGCCCCGGGCUCAACCUGGGAAUGGCGGUGGAUACUGGCGGACUAGAGUGCGGUAGAGGGUGGUGGAAUUCCCGGUGUAGCAGUGAAAUGCGUAGAGAUCGGGAGGAACACCGGUGGCGAAGGCGGGAUCCUGGGCCAGUACUGACGCUGAGGAGCGAAAGCGUGGGGAGCAAACAGG
rnacentral:rRNA from 1 species